GAUGAACGCUGGCGGCGUGCCUAAUACAUGCAAGUCGAGCGAACAGACGAGGAGCUUGCUCCUCUGACGUUAGCGGCGGACGGGUGAGUAACACGUGGAUAACCUACCUAUAAGACUGGGAUAACUUCGGGAAACCGGAGCUAAUCCCGGAUAAUAUAUUGAACCGCAUGGUUCAAUAGUGAAAGACGGUUUUGCUGUCACUUAUAGAUGGAUCCGCGCCGCAUUAGCUAGUUGGUAAGGUAACGGCUUACCAAGGCGACGAUGCGUAGCCGACCUGAGAGGGUGAUCGGCAACACUGGAGCUGAGACACGGUCCAGGCCCCUACGGGAGGCAGCAGUAGGAAAUCUACCGCAAUGGGCGAAAGCCUGACGGAGCAACGCGGCGUGGGGGAUGAAGUUCUUCGGAUCGUAAAACGCUGUUAUUAGGGAAGAAGAAAUGUGUAAGUAACUAUGCACGUCGUGACGGUACCUAAUCAGAAAGCCACGGCUAACUACGU
rnacentral:rRNA from 1 species